GACGAACGCUGGCGGCGUGCUUAACACAUGCAAGUCGAACGGAAAGGCCCUGCUUUUGUGGGGUGCUCGAGUGGCGAACGGGUGAGUAACACGUGAGUAACCUGCCCUUGACUUUGGGAUAACUUCAGGAAACUGGGGCUAAUACCGGAUAGGAGCUCCUGCUGCAUGGUGGGGGUUGGAAAGUUUCGGCGGUUGGGGAUGGACUCGCGGCUUAUCAGCUUGUUGGUGGGGUAGUGGCUUACCAAGGCUUUGACGGGUAGCCGGCCUGAGAGGGUGACCGGCCACAUUGGGACUAAGAUACGGCCCAGACUCCUACGGGAGGCAGCAGUGGGAAAUAUUGCACAAUGGGCGGAAGCCUGAUGCAGCAACGCCGCGUGCGGGAUGACGGCCUUCGGGUUGUAAACCGCUUUCGCCUGUGACGAAGCGAGAGUGACGGUAAUGGGUAAAGAAGCACCGGCUAACUACGUG
rnacentral:rRNA from 1 species